rnacentral:lncRNA from 1 species
CUGUUUUGGGGAUACAGAGAAUGAUUGAAUGGUGGGUUAUUUUGGGGAUACUAGGAAUGGUUAAAGAUGUUGUGUGGGAAAUUUUUGCAUGUGCUGGAAGUAAGAGUUUUAUGCUCUUGGAUUUCUAUGAUCAGAGGCACUCAAUCUAGUGAAAUUUCCCUCUAAGGGAUCCAUCUGAACAAAGAACUAUUUUUAUUGUAUGUUUUGUUUUGAGCUUGCUUCACUCUUUGUAUGCUAGGAACAAGGAGGAUGCAAUGUUUCUACAUGUUGGUUGAUUUCAAAUAGAAGAAUGCAUGAACCGCCCAUCCAAAUAGAACCCACCACGACCCAUCCAGCAGAACCCGCCACCACCCCAUGCCUCCCCACCGUGAUGCCGGCAGAGCUAGCGGUCAGAACUUCGGCAUCGACAAGGACGGUAAUGGCAAGGUGUCCUUCCCUUCCCCACUGCUUCC